GGGUUUGUAGCUCAGCUGGUUAGAGCACACGCCUGAUAAGCGUGAGGUCGGAAGUUCAAGUCUUCUCAAACCUACCA
rnacentral:tRNA from 1 species